GAGGAGUUAGUUAAUUAUAACCCCGCUUUGUCAAAGCGAAGUAAUGAGUUAAAACCUCAUACCCCUCU
rnacentral:tRNA from 1 species